CAGUAGCCGCGGGAAUACAGAGGGUGCAAGCGUUAAUCGGAAUUACUGGGCGUAAAGCGUGCGCAGGCGGUUAUAUAAGACAGAUGUGAAAUCCCCGGGCUCAACCUGGGAACUGCAUUUGUGACUGUAUAGCUAGAGUACGGCAGAGGGGGAUGGAAUUCCGCGUGUAGCAGUGAAAUGCGUAGAUAUGCGGAGGAACACCGAUGGCGAAGGCAAUCCCCUGGGCCUGUACUGACGCUCAUGCACGAAAGCGUGGGGAGCAAACAGGAUUAGAUACCCUUGUAGUCCCUGUCUCUUAUAC
rnacentral:rRNA from 1 species